UACGGGGGGGGCAAGCGUUGUUCGGAAUUACUGGGCGUAAAGGGCUCGUAGGCGGCCAACUAAGUCAGACGUGAAAUCCCCAGGCUCAACCUGGGAACUGCGUCUGAUACUGGAUGGCUUGAAUCCGGGAGAGGGAUGCAGAAUUCCAGGUGUAGCGGUGAAAUGCGUAGAUAUCUGGAGGAACACCGGUGGCGAAGGCGGCAUCCUGGACCGGCAUUGACGCUGAGGCGCGAAAGCUAGGGGAGCGAACGGG
rnacentral:rRNA from 1 species